UACGUAGGGGGCGAGCGUUAUCCGGAAUUACUGGGUGUAAAGGGCGCGUAGGUGGUUGUAUAAGUCAGAUGUGAAAAUUCAGAGCUCAACUCUGAACUUGCAUUUGAAACUAUAUGGCUAGAGUACAGGAGAGGAAUGUAGAAUUCCCGGUGGAGCGGUGAAAUGCAUAGAUAUCGGGAGGAACACCAAUGGCGAAGGCAGCAUUCUGGACUGUAACUGACACUGAGGCGCGAAAGCGUGGGGAG
rnacentral:rRNA from 1 species